rnacentral:rRNA from 1 species
AACGAACGCUGGCGGCAUGCCUAACACAUGCAAGUCGAACGAGACCUUCGGGCCUAGUGGCGCUGGGCUGCGUAACGCCUGGUAACCUGCACUUGGGUUCGGAAUAACUCCCCGAAAGUGCAGCUAAUACCGGUUAAUGUCAUAGCACCUAAGAUUUAUUGCCUUUGGAUGGGGGCGCGUUGGUUUAGGCAGUUGGUAGGGUACAAGCCUACCAAGGCCACGAUGCAUAGCUGGUCUGAUAGGAUGAUCAGCCACGAUUGAACUGAGACACGGCCCAGACUGCUACGGGGCGCAGCAGUGGGGAAUAUUGGGGAAUGGGCGAAGGCCUGAUCCAGCAGUGCCGCGUGAGAGAUGAAGGCGUUAGGGUUGUAAAGCUGUUUGACACGGGAUGAUAAUGACAGUACCGGGAGAAUAAGCUCCGGCUAACUCCGUG